rnacentral:sRNA from 1 species
CCUGGGGUUCACACCCCAGGCUGUAUUCCUUUGCCGCUUUGCGGCA